GUGUGUGAUCGAACGAGAGAGGGAGCCAAGGGGGAAACCCUACUUCUUAAAAAUCCUACAAAUUGAAGGGAUUGAAAGCUGAAUUCUAGGUGCAUGAGUUAGGAAGUAAGAUCUCCUAACUAUAUUAGAUACCAAGGUCGAAGAAAGGAGGGGAAUCAAACCAAGCAAAGGCAAUAGGAGCGCACGACUCCGGUGAAUCUCACUCUUGAUAAUGGCGAGCUUGGAUCGAACACACCACAUCGCCCUUUAUGCGCUUCCGGUUAAAGUUGUCUUUGUAAAUGGGU